AUCCUGGCUCAGGACGACGCUGGCGGCGUGCCUAACACAUGCAAGUCGAACGAAGCUUGACGAAAGAUCUCUUCGGAGUGAAUUCAGAUAUGACUGAGUGGCGGACGGGUGAGUAACGCGUGAGCAACCUGCCCUUCGGAGGGGGAUAGUGUCUGGAAACGGACAGUAAUACCGCAUAACGUUAAGACAAGGCAUCUUGACAUAACCAAAGAUUUAUCGCCGAAGGAUGGGCUCGCGUCUGAUUAGAUAGUUGGUGGGGUAACGGCCUACCAAGUCGACGAUCAAUAGCCGGACUGAGAGGUUGAUCGGCCACAUUGGGACUGAGACACGGCCCAGACUCCUACGGGAGGCAGCAGUGGGGAAUAUUGCACAAUGGGCGCAAGCCUGAUGCAGCAACGCCGCGUGGAGGAAGACGGUUUUCGGAUUGUAAACUCCUGUUCUUAGGGAAGAAGACAGUGACGGUACCUAAGGAGAAAGCCACGGCUAACUACGUGCC
rnacentral:rRNA from 1 species